GAUGAACGCUGGCGGCGUGCUUAACACAUGCAAGUCGAACGGGGAUGCCAUUUUCGAGGUGAUUAGUUUACUAAGCGCCAAGAUGUUGGUAUCUUAGUGGCGGACGGGUGAGUAACGCGUGGGUAACCUGCCUUAUACAGGGGGAUAACACUUAGAAAUAGGUGCUAAUACCGCAUAAGCGCACGGGGCUGCAUGGCCCAGUGUGAAAAACUCCGGUGGUAUAAGAUGGACCCGCGUCUGAUUAGCUUGUUGGCGGGGUAACGGCCCACCAAGGCGACGAUCAGUAGCCGGCCUGAGAGGGUGGACGGCCACAUUGGGACUGAGACACGGCCCAA
rnacentral:rRNA from 1 species